rnacentral:rRNA from 1 species
UCCUACGGGAGGCAGCAGUGAGGAAUAUUGGUCAAUGGACGCAAGUCUGAACCAGCCAUGCCGCGUGCAGGAAGACGGCUCUAUGAGUUGUAAACUGCUUUUGUACGAGAGUAAACGCUCUUACGUGUAAGAGCCUGAAAGUAUCGUACGAAUAAGGAUCGGCUAACUCCGUGCCAGCAGCCGCGGUAAUACGGAGGAUUCAAGCGUUAUCCGGAUUUAUUGGGUUUAAAGGGUGCGUAGGCGGUUUGAUAAGUUAGAGGUGAAAUCCCGGGGCUUAACUCCGGAACUGCCUCUAAUACUGUUAGACUAGAGAGUAGUUGCGGUAGGCGGAAUGUAUGGUGUAGCGGUGAAAUGCUUAGAGAUCAUACAGAACACCGAUUGCGAAGGCAGCUUACCAAACUAUAUCUGACGUUGAGGCACGAAAGCGUGGGGAGCAAACAGGAUUAGAUACCCUGGUAGUCCACGCAGUAAACGAUGAUAACUCGUUGUCGGCGAUACACAGUCGGUGACUAAGCGAAAGCGAUAAGUUAUCCACCUGGGGAGUACGUUCGCAAGAAUGAAACUCAAAGGAAUUGACGGGGGCCCGCACAAGCGGAGGAACAUGUGGUUUAAUUCGAUGAUACGCGAGGAACCUUACCCGGGCUUGAAAGUUACUGACGAUUCUGGAAACAGGAUUUCCCUUCGGGGCAGGAAACUAGGUGCUGCAUGGUUGUCGUCAGCUCGUGCCGUGAGGUGUCGGGUUAAGUCCCAUAACGAGCGCAACCCCUACCGUUAGUUGCCAUCAGGUCAAGCUGGGCACUCUGGCGGGACUGCCGGUGUAAGCCGAGAGGAAGGUGGGGAUGACGUCAAAUCAGCACGGCCCUUACGUCCGGGGCUACACA